GACGAACGCUGGCGGCGUGCUUAACACAUGCAAGUCGAACGGAAAGGCCCUGCUUGCAGGGUACUCGAGUGGCGAACGGGUGAGUAACACGUGGGUGAUCUGCCCUGCACUUCGGGAUAAGCCUGGGAAACUGGGUCUAAUACCGGAUAGGAGCCAUUUUUAGUGUGAUGGUUGGAAAGUUUUUUCGGUGUAGGAUGAGCUCGCGGCCUAUCAGCUUGUUGGUGGGGUAAUGGCCUACCAAGGCGGCGACGGGUAGCCGGCCUGAGAGGGUGGACGGCCACAUUGGGACUGAGAUACGGCCCAGACUCCUACGGGAGGCAGCAGUGGGGAAUAUUGCAAAAUGGGCGCAAGCCUGAUGCAGCGACGCCGCGUGGGGGAUGACGGCCUUCGGGUUGUAAACUCCUUUCGCUAGGGACGAAGCUUUUUGUGACGGUACCUAGAUAAGAAGCACCGGCUAACUACGUG
rnacentral:rRNA from 1 species